GGGGUUGUAGGGUAGCCAGGUCUAUCCUUCGGCGUUCGGGACGCCGAGACCUGAGUUCAAAUCUCAGCAACCCCA
rnacentral:tRNA from 1 species